GCAUUCAACUAAAAUGCUAGCAAUCAAAAUGAAAGAUGCGUAACAGAAUCAGAGAGGAACAUUGCUUUUGAGAAACAUUUUAUGGCAAAGAGUUGUCAUUUCCUUUCAGUUUGGUUUAAAUGAUUGAGCAAUCAUAAAGCUUCUCAUAAAAAGGAUGGAAAACCUCUACAUGCCUUGUUUUUUUGUGUUUUUGAAUGUCUCAGACUUUAAACUUUAGCCGCAUUUAGCCAUAAAACUUGCUAACUAGCACAUUAUUAGGAAAGGUGAUUUGCAAAGUUUCAUAAAAAACCCUUAUACCCACUUCUUCUGUAGAUGAAGCUGCUGGAUCACGAAUGAUUCGCGUAAACAUAGAUACAUUUAGGCAGAUCGGGGAUUGGCCUUCCCUUCAAAAACGAAAGUAAGUUAAUCCUCUGCAUCUUCGGAAGGCUCAGAUGUCAGGAGUACAUCUUUUCAAUAAAAUUCCACAUAUUACCUUGUCUUAAACAUUUUUGAAACAACCUCCAUUAAAGUGCACGCAGCAUUGGAAAUUCAAUUCAUUGAGUUGCUUUGUUCAAGCAGUUCAUGUAAGUGAACCAAUUUACAUGAACUGAAUAUAUGUUGCAUUUGUAGCCAGUGUCAAUGUAAUUAGCUCCUUUUUAAAAGUUUGAAUGUAGUUUGAAAGUGUAGUCGAACUACUGUAAAUUACGAUUAGCAUGUAGCUUGGCAAGGUACAGUUUAAAGUGGUUUUCCCAACCCUGAUUCCUAACAAUCACAUACUGUACAAACAUAUCUAUGGGAAAAUCCUUGAUAGCACACAACCAUUGGGUCUGUAAAUAACUCUGUAAACACCCCUGUGUUUGCACAGAGCGCUGUAUUGACCUCAGAAUUACAGUGAUCACUUACAGAGGUCUGAGCAUUUAGAAGGCUGUGAGUGCUCAGCUCAGCAAGACAUAAUUAGACAUGAGGAUAAUAACCACCUUUUUGCCCCCUGCUGUACUCGACUCUUCUGGCCAUGAUCAGACCUCAACAGGAGCAAAUGGAAGAGCUACACUAGUUAAUGGACAGAGGAAAUGGUGCAAAUGUACGUUUUGCUGCUAGAGGUUGCUUAUUCAAGUUCGAUGACACGGUGGCGGAGUGUGGAAUAAUGGGAGUUAUUGUGUUCACCUCCAUUUUUGUUUUAUGAUAAUAUUUUUGGCGACAGAACCUGCAGCAAAUGAUAAUGAAUUUGUAUCAGUGCUCCUGGUCUUCAGUCAUAAAAGACGCCAUUAAACAAAUAUUAAAAAAACACUGUCUACUUUAAUUUGAAGAUUGAAUGUGAAAUUAUUGCAAUAUAAAAGUAUAUUUAAAAACUUUAAUGUUGGGUGGGAUUAAUUGUGAUUAAUUUCAGAAAAAAAAUUGUGAUUAAAGGGGUCAUAUGAUGUUGCUAAAAAGAACAUUAUUUUGUGUAUUUGGUGUAAUUAAAUGUGUUUAUGUGGUUUAAGGUUCAAAAAACACAUUAUUUUCCACAUAAUAUACAUUAUUGUUUCUCCUCUAUGCCCCGCCUUUCUGAAACGCGUCAAUAUUUACAAAGCUUAUCCUUCUGAAUAGCAAGGUGUGCUCUGAUUGGCCAAUUAUCCAGUGCGUUGUGAUUGGCCGAAU
ensembl:lncRNA